rnacentral:rRNA from 1 species
GACGAACGCUGGCGGCGUGCUUAACACAUGCAAGUCGAACGGAAAGGCCCUGCUUUUGUGGGGUGCUCGAGUGGCGAACGGGUGAGUAACACGUGAGUAACCUGCCCUUGACUUUGGGAUAACUUCAGGAAACUGGGGCUAAUACCGGAUAGGAGCUCCUGCUGCAUGGUGGGGGUUGGAAAGUUUCGGCGGUUGGGGAUGGACUCGCGGCUUAUCAGCUUGUUGGUGGGGUAGUGGCUUACCAAGGCUUUGACGGGUAGCCGGCCUGAGAGGGUGACCGGCCACAUUGGGACUGAGGUACGGCCCAGACUGCUACGGUAGGCAGCAGUGGGGAAUAUUGCACAAUGGGCGGAAGCCUGAUGCAGCAACGCCGCGUGCGGGAUGACUGCCUUCGGGUUGUAAACCGCUUUAGCCUGUGACGAAGCGUGAGUGACGGUAAUGGGUAAAGAAGCACCGGCUAACUACGUG